GCCUUGUGCAACAAAACAAAAUAAAUUCCACUCUCUCCAAUGACUUCUCGAGUAAAAGUCUCCGACGAGCCACUGAGUCCCUCCGGCCGGCUAUUUCUCCGGCCAGAGAUGGACACCAUAAUCCACUGUGCACUCGGCGUUGAAUACGCCAUGGACGUGGAAGCUGUAAAAACCACCAUAAGGAACUCUCUCAUGUUGAAGCACCCAAGAUUUUGCAGUCUCCUUGUACACGACAAGAAUGGAUUGGAACACUGGAGAAGAACAGAGGUCGACCUCGACAAACACAUCUUAGUUGUUGAAAACCCCGCCGAAGCC
rnacentral:misc_RNA from 1 species